UAAUACGUAGGGGGCGAGCGUUGUCCGGAAUGAUUGGGCGUAAAGGGCGCGUAGGCGGCCUACUAAGUCUGGAGUGGAAGUCCCGCUUUCAAGGUGGGAAUUGCUUUGGAAACUGGUAGGCUUGAGUGUGGGAGAGGAAAGCGGAAUUCCCGGUGUAGCGGUGAAAUGCGUAGAGAUCGGGAGGAACACCAGUGGCGAAGGCGGCUUUCUGGACCACAACUGACGCUGAGGCGCGAAAGCGUGGGUAGCGAACAGGAUUAGAUACCCUGGUAGUCCACGCGGUAAACGAUGAAUGCUAGGUGUAGGGGGUAUCGACCCCCUCUGUGCCGGAGUUAACACAAUAAGCAUUCCGCCUGGGGAGUACGGCCGCAAGGUUG
rnacentral:rRNA from 1 species